CGUUCGUCUGCGGACCACCGCCGACGGCGGCGGCGGCGACCGGACGACCGUGCCGUUAAUGAAACCUAAUUAUCGGACAUUAAUUAUUAUACGUGCCUCCUCCUUGCACACCGCUUACCGCCACCCCGUUUGUAGCGACCGGUGAUUUAUUGUACACGUCGACCGCUGCAAGACCGGCCGGAUACACGUGAAAGCUCAUCAACGUCUCCCGCGCCGCGCCUACAUGGUGGACGAGUCUAACUUUCGAGAAAAAAAUCAAUGAUUUACGCACCGUGCGUGCAACGGCCGUAUCGAUUUGAUAAUAAUAAAUCGGAGGAACAAAUCGCUGUUCCAUUAUUUUUAAAAGAUUCUUUUCAAAAUAUAUACUACAAUAUCAUUGUGCUAUUGUAUCGUCGUUUUCACAUAGAAAUGUAUAUGUCCAAAAAUAUAUAGCUCUGUUAUAUAAUCUUAUGAAGAAAAUGGUUUGAAAUAAAAACACUCAAAAGUUACAAAAUGACGUCAAUAUUUAAUGCAGGGCUUAAGCAUUCAAAUGUGCAUUUCCGGUGGCCGAGCUUUAGUGACCGAGAGGAGAGGCCAAAAUUGGUGGCGCCUGCUCGUAAUGGAUACCCGACGACGGCGAGCGGCUGUAAUUACUAUGUACGUGCAAGCUAUGAAAAAGGUCACAGACAGGAAACGCAUAUGUAUACAAUAAUACUUAUGUAAAUAAAAAAUGAAUUAUUCCUAAUUCGAGAAUAGCAUAUUACUGCUGUUCGCUUCGACAAAACGCCCCUGCAGAGACAAUGGACGGCAUAAUAAUAAUAUACACGUAUCAGAACGUCUAUGCGUAAUAAUAAGAAAAAACGGCACUCUCGUUAAGACGAAGUAUAUUAUAUGUAGUUACACGCAUGCUGUGUACACAGCAGUAUUGUCAAUACUUAUUAUAUUGCAUACGUGGCCGGAAUAAUGGACCAGUGAUGGUGAUAAUAGUAAACAGCGUACUAUCAUAAAAGUAUAGUGUCUUUCAUAUUUACAACAUUAUCUUGAUUAGUCUGAUUACGAAACGACUUUUGAAACUAUAAUAACAUUAUAUUAACGUAUACAUGAAAUUGUAACAAGACGCUUCGUAUCUACAUUACCACUCGACACUCGUCACUCUGCAUGGUAACAGAUUACACUGAUCAUCUCUCCCCGACUAACCAAUAUCGAUUCGUAGUCAAAGUGCAAUCAGUCCUCUAGUCCUCAUAAUAUAUUUUUAUGUGUCUACCUAUUAUUUUAUAAUAUUCGUACCUAUCGUCGAAACAGUUCCACAAUAUUGUAUAUGUGUUACCACGAUGAAAAUAUAAGCGAAACACAGUAUUUUUUCUAAAACGUACAUAAAUUAAUGGUUUUUGAAAAAUUAUAUUUCUACAAUUAUUUUUUUCUAUACAUCAUAUAAUAUGGAAUAGAGACGUAGACACAAACAAUUUCCGUCAUCAUUAUAGUAUGGUUCCUAACGAAUAUGCAUAUAAUUUACUGUCAGGAGGCAUAUUACAUUUUAACCAAUACGUUUUUUUUCUUAAUGUUAUUUAAUGUUUAUAAAUUAUGGCGAUGUAUAUAAUCAGAUCACUUCAGCAAGAUACUCAUAAACAUUAACAUGCAGUGUAUAAAUAUUCUGGUUUUAAUGUGUUGUAAUUUUUCAUUUAUUAUAAUAUUAUGUAUGCUAUCAACAA